rnacentral:misc_RNA from 1 species
GAACUGCGAUAAGUAAUGUGAAUUGCAGAAUUCAGUGAAUCAUCGAGUCUUUGAACGCACAUUGCGCCCCCUGGCAUUCCGGGGGGCAUGCCUGUCCGAGCGUCAUUGCUGCCCUUCAAGCCCGGCUUGUGUGUUGGGUCGUCGUCCCCUCCGGGGGACGGGGCCGAAAGGCAGCGGCGGCACCGCGUCCGGUCCUCGAGCGUAUGGGGCUUUGUCACCCGCUCGAUAAGGACCGGCCGGGCGCCAGCCGGCGUCUCCAACCUUUUUUUCUCAGGUUGACCUCGGAUCAGGUAGGGAUACCCGCUGAACUUAAGC